AUAAAUUCGAAGAUCGAGAGAUUCUAUAAAAAUAAUACGUGACAGAGAACGAAGCCUUGGCUGGAAGCUUCGACGGAUAAAUUAUAGAUAGACACUCGUGAGAAAAUAUUCUGAACUGCUAGUAGGAAUAUUCGUUGACGGCGUUAACGUUUUAAAGUGGUAAUAGUUUUAGACUGUUACAAGUAAGGUGGCACCGCGUAUACUACGUCCUUAGA
rnacentral:ncRNA from 1 species